rnacentral:lncRNA from 1 species
UUUUUUUUUUUUUUUGCCUACGUAUUAGCAAUUAAUUGGCCUGAAAAAAUUAUUUAACUAAAUUAACUGAAUCAACCAGUUGUUUUGGUAUUAGUAAGAAACAGCUGGAUUAUUUUAUCCAAGGACUGACUUAAUCUGAUAGAUUUUUAGUUGAAGUUCAUCAUAUGCAUCUAAUCCCUACCAGGUCUUGACUUUAGUUUUCUCCUUGUAGACAGAUUUGCAUAUAGACACCCCUGGGAUUACAGCAUCAUUUAAAAAAUUUUUCGUUUUGUUUCUAGCAUUAUUUUGAAAAGCUGCUUUUUAAAAGAUAUUGGGCAAUCAUUAGCAUUCCACCUUAGAAGAGUUGUAAAAUUAAUACAUAUUUUGAGGGUUAAUUAAACUGAAAGUAUUUUGAGCUCUUUAGAAACAAAAUAACACUGUGAGAUAUAAUGUUAAUGUAGCUAUAUAGAUCACAUAAAAGGGAUGACAUUCAGUUCCUUUAAAAUAAAUAGCUAUCACUUAAUGCAAAAGAUGAUUCUUCUCUUGAACAGCAAUCCUUCUAUACCCCACCAGGGCUGCAACUUUUCCUGGCCUUUUAAAAAUCUGAAUAUCUUUUCUCACACAUUUUCUUUACUCUAUCCUCAUCAUUUUUGGAGGUGGCUGGGUUCAUGGUUUUCCCCCAGGUAAUAUGACAUCCAUUCAUAUACUCUGCUAUAGUUUUCCCUACCAAGAAGGGAUUAAUCUUUGAAUUUCACCUGGUCCUCAGGCAUAAAAGAAAGUGGGUGCGGAGUUCCCGUCGUGGCACAGUGGUUAACGAAUCCGACUAGGAACCAUGAGGUCGCGGGUUCGGUCCCUGCCCUUGCUCAGUGGAGGAGCUCCCGCUGUGACAAAAUAUCUUAGGAGCAGCAUCUUGGGAGGGCAGGUACCCAGGAACUCCGCACAGUGGGUUAAGGAUCCAGCAAUGCCACAGCUGAGGCUUAGGUGGCAACUGCAGCUCAGAUCUGAUCUCCGGCCCAGGAGCUCUACAUGCUGUGGGGUGGCCAAAAAUGAAAAAAAUAAAAAAUAAAUAUGCCAAGAAGGAGGGGGAGGGAUUGGGAUGGACUGGGAAUCUGGGGUUAAGAGAUGCAAACUAUUGCAUUUGGAAUGGAUAAGCAAUGAGAUCCUGCUGUAUAGCACUGGGAACUAUAUUUAGUCACUUGUGAUGAAGCAUGACGGAGGAUAAUGUGAGAUAAAGAACAUGUAUAUAUACAUAUAUGACCAGGUCACUUUGUUCUACAGUAGAAAAUUGACAGAAUAGUGUAAGCCAACUGUAACAGAGAAAAUAAAAAUCCUUAUAAAAAAUAAAAAACAAUCAUUAAAAUAAGAGAUCUACUUUUUGCAUAAAUAAAUAAAAACAAAAGAUUACAGGGAGGCUAACUGGUAUGUGCUGAACAAUUUUUCAUCAAAUUUAACUCCAGUGGAACUAACUGGUGUACUUACUACUACAUUGGUCUUUAGAAGGUAGAAGAAAACAACGUGGGCAUUGAUAUAUGGUCCUUUCAGUUCUGAGGGAAGCCAUGAAAAGUAAGUAAUUUACUUGUAAGCAUCUAUUACAGUAAAGGAAGGUUGUAGAGUUUCUAUUUAAAUGCAAAUAAUAACUCACAAUGUUGUAUAGAGAGUGAUUUAUUUUGAUAUGUUUCCCUCCACCCCUUCCCCAGAAUUUUAGGCUAGCUACUAGAAAUACUGUUCAAGGACAUCUGCUCAAGGAUCUCCCUUAUAAAAUAGUCAAGUAUUCCUUAAUGUUUAUAUCUCUGGUCAAGGAUAAAAAAACAAUCAGGCCUACCAAGGUUUAUAAAACAUGUCUUAUUGAAAGAUAUUCCUUAGUGGGUUGCAGUUCCAUGAACUGAAUCAGCAACAGUAGGUAGCUUUGGGGAUGAUCCACUUAUGGCAAACUGUAAAAUGUCUUCAAUGACCAAUCCAGUUAUAAUUAUCAUUAUCAUUGCAAACCUCUUGAUUUCUAACUCCUUUUAGGAUAUCUCCCCAUUGUAACUUCAACACAUAAAUACUGUGGUCAGAGAAAAUAUCUUUGAUUACAUGUGGAGAUAUAGAUAGAUAGAUAGAUACACACACACACAUACAUACAUAGAGGCAAGACUAUGAAAAUUGAAGUGUUUACAGGUUAUGUAGAUUGUGACUAUUUUACCAAGCAAACUGGAUUUCUACUUAGAGAUUUAAAUGAAAAACUGGCUCUCCUAUUUGGGAGGAUUUGGAGCUAAUCCACUGGGAGAUGCAGGGGCUGAUCAAUUAGCCUUUCCCAGGUGCCUUCCUAUCUUUAUACAUAGGGGAUACUCUAGAGCAGGUCCCUGGGCUCUACAGGAUAGUUUCUGGUGUCAGUGGAACAUUCAUAGUUACCUGCAGACUAAGUAGGAACAUAGGAUGCCAACAGAGGCCAUCUUUUAGAUUUCUGGAGGUCCAAACAGUUCCUGCUCAACUUCCCUGAUUACACUGUGGAUGGGUUAAGAGGAAUAGGGAAUAAAAAAAGGAGAGCAGAGUAGGGACACAGUAUCUUGAGUCAAACAGUUACAUACCAUAGUGAACCAUAAGAAAAGCUGCUUCAUGCAGACAUGGGAAAACUACAGCAGGCUUUGUUAGAGAGUUGUGGUUUUGGCUAGUGGGUAGUACAUAAUCUGAGAAUAUCACCAACAGUUUUAGGGAUCCUAUAUCUUUUAGUACUUUCACAUAAGUAUAUACAUUUAAAGUAAUUUCAUGAUAAUAAAAUGAUGUUUUAAGAGUUCUAGUCUUUUAAGGUUACAUCAACCCAGAAGAUAUUUUUUACAUUUAAAUACAGUGGUUUUUUUUCCUCCUGCAAAAUGUUCCACUGAUCUUUUAACAGCAAUCAAAUAAAAAUUCAUAAACGUCUAUGCAAAAAUCCAUAAGCCAACUAGUCAGUGACAGAAUAAGUGGGCUUUUUUUCUUAGCAUUUUGGAAAAUGUGAUAAACAGUAUUUGCUUUGCAAAACACAAUUCAAUAUUUUAUUUGUUUAAGGCAAGAUAAAGGGUAACAACUCUAAAUUUUGACUUCUGAAUAUCUGUGUUUGCCAAAAAGAUGUUCAUGUGUGUGGUUGAGGGAGAGUCUUUAUAUCAUUACUUCUUUAAAAUCUACUUCUAUCUACUUCUUUUAUUAUCAAAGUUCUUUAUUUUUUGUUUUCUACAGUCUCAUAUGCUAUCAUUCAGCUGAGUCAAACUCUUGGAUAUCUAUCUAUUCCCUAUUUUUGGGCUGUAGUAACAUUUGCUAAACAGAAUGUCCAGAGCCUCUUCUUAAAGCACCACUAGCAGGCACUGUUAGAGCAUUUUCAUUCAAGUUUAUUCUACUUGGGCAAAAAGGGAACAGCGGCUUACAUCCACUGAGGAUCAGUGAGCACAAUCUCAUAGCAACAGACACCAAAACAGUCCCUCAUUACAAGCCUUGUCCAACAAUCAAGUCUUUAACGAGAACAAAGGUUGACAGUGAUUAAUCAUUAAGCAGUUCCUUGUUCCUUGAUGCACGUGUUCUGAGCAGCCUCCUGCAGAGGCAGUCUGGCAUAUUUCCUGUCUCUGUACUCCACUGUGCCAUGUCUGAAGGGACGCCCAGGCAGCCUUCUCACUAUUUUAAUUUCAAAUGCUACAAACAUCUACAGAGUUUCUAUGUGCACAUGUCUUGACUUUUAUUCUGAGUCUGGCAGACUCUGAAUGGAUAUAGAGAGUCAGAACAUAAUAAGCCGUUAACUCCACAUCUGCUUACUAGAUUAUGUUCAAAGACAGUAUAAGAAAUUGAUUAAACACUGUUUUCUGGAAGAAACCUUUGAAAUCUGUUUCUUCAAGCAAUGCAAUGAUAAGUUGGUGUAAUUUAGUUGUGCAGUGAACAUAAGAUAACUUCGCUACUGUUUCUACAUAAAAAUAGCUUGUAUGUUGACAAAACACCAGGCUUUGAAAAGCAAUAAAAAUAUUUUCAAAAAUUCUCUUUCAAAUAAUUCUGUUUCACAAGGCAAUGGAGUUGUCAUGUUAAAUGACAUCGUUAUCAUUUUAUUCAGUGUGACUCUUCGUUGCAUUUUUUAAUUACUUGACUAGGAACUAUUUCUUUUGGCUGGUCAUGCAAUGGUAUAUGCAUUCAUCUUAAUAGAUUGACUUGGAUGUUCUAUUUUUUUUCUCUAUCACCACGUAAAUAGCACUAAUGAUAACCAUGUUACCUGUGAACUAGGAGGUCAGGUGAAGAGGGAAAAUUAAGUAUAAGACAGUUUCUAGGAGGUGAGGGGCAAGGAUUGACAGCAAUAACAACUACUUUAAAACCAAGGAAAGUCAGUUAUAACAACAAAUACGUUGCUUUUCCAAACAUCACAUCUAACAAAAACCAAAAUGAAGUAACCCUCGAGCUUUUUGGUACCUAUUAACUCCUUUUUUUCCAGCUGGUUAGAAUUAAGAAAUAGCAGGUCUCCAUUAGUUCAAGUAAAAGAUUUCAACUAGAAUGUGUAUAACAUAAAAACUAAAGUAGAAAAUCCAAUUAUAAAGUAUAAAAUAUGCAAUUCUGCUGGUGUACUCAGCAUUUUAGUAUUCAGCUAUAAUUUCUUUAAGCUGAGUUGUAUUUACCAGGGAAAGGAGAAUGACAAUGACAUUCUACAAACAAAAAGACCACCUUAUUAUUGGUAAUUAAGCUCUUCACCCAAAUCUAUGUGACAGGGAUGCAUAAUGGUCGUUGACUCAUGUUAAGAUCAAAGCAGCCCAUUAGGAAACCCCAUUCAGAAAAUGAACAUCUUUUAACCAGAGCCUCCUGGGAUCAACGUUUAAAACUAACAACAGUGAACUCUGAACUGUGAAGGAAAGCAAUGAUGAACUAUAGGAGGAAAGUUUUCAGGGCUUGAGAUGGUCUUAGGCAAUAGUCUUACAAACCAACCAAUCUGAUUAUUUUAACUCAAUUCGACUUGUAAUAAUCUACUCUAACUAGUUCUAGGUAUCUCUGUGGCUAGGGUAAAUGGACCUUGCCUCACACAUAUUACCUUUGAAACACAGUAUUUGGUUAAACUGCUCUGCUUAUCUUCGAUCUUUUUCUCAUUAGAAGCUAAGCCUGUAACAUUUGGGAGUGUCUCUCAAAAUCUAAGGGCAAAGACCUAGAUCAAUUACAAGUUAAGGGACUCUCAAACUAUGGGCAGAUGGCAUGGAAUACUAGAGCAAUUAAUAUAUCAUGGGUACACAAAUCUCAAAUAAAUUCCAUAAAUAACACUAUAGCUAUCGUAUGUUGGGUACUACGUAUCAGUCAUCAUGCUGGAUACUUUAUGUACUAUCAUGUUUCAUAACAUUCUAUGGUAGGUGCUAUUAUAGUAUCCUUGUUGCACAGGUGAGAGAAUUGACAUUUAGAGAAGUAAGAUAAUUCACCCAGAAA